rnacentral:rRNA from 1 species
UUCUCGCUGACGAGCGGCGGACGGGUGAGUAAUGCGUAGGAAUCUACCCUUUUGUGGGGGAUAGCCCGGAGAAAUCCGGAUUAAUACCGCAUAAGCUCUUCGGAGGAAAGUGGGGGAUCUUCGGACCUCACGCUGAAGGAUGAGCCUACGUUGGAUUAGCUUGUUGGUGGGGUAAAGGCCUACCAAGGCGACGAUCCAUAGCUGGUCUGAGAGGAUGAUCAGCCACACCGGGACUGAGACACGGCCCGGACUCCUACGGGAGGCAGCAGUGGGGAAUAUUGGACAAUGGGCGCAAGCCUGAUCCAGCCAUGCCGCGUGUGUGAAGAAGGCUCUAGGGUUGUAAAGCACUUUAAGCAGGGAAGAAACGCUGUUGGUUAAUAACCAUCAGUACUGACGGUACCUGCAGAAUAAGCACCGGCUAACUCCGUGCCAGCAGCCGCGGUAAUACGGAGGGUGCAAGCGUUAAUCGGAUUUACUGGGCGUAAAGCGUGCGUAGGCGGCUACGUAAGUCAGUUGUGAAAGCCCCGGGCUUAACCUGGGAACUGCAAUUGAUACUGCGUGGCUAGAAUUCGGUAGAGGAAGGUGGAACUCCAGGUGUAGCGGUGAAAUGCGUAGAUAUCUGGAAGAACAUCAAUGGCGAAGGCAACCUU